UACGUAGGGUGCAAGCGUUAAUCGGAAUUACUGGGCGUAAAGCGUGCGCAGGCGGUUAUAUAAGUCAGAUGUGAAAUCCCCGGGCUUAACCUGGGAACUGCAUUUGAGACUGUAUGGCUAGAGUGUGUCAGAGGGGGGUAGAAUUCCACGUGUAGCAGUGAAAUGCGUAGAUAUGUGGAGGAAUACCGAUGGCGAAGGCAGCCCCCCUGGGAUAACACUGACGCUCAUGGCACGAA
rnacentral:rRNA from 1 species